GAUGAACGCUGGCGGCGUGCCUAAUACAUGCAAGUCGAGCGAACGGACGAGAAGCUUGCUUCUCUGAUGUUAGCGGCGGACGGGUGAGUAACACGUGGAUAACCUACCUAUAAGACUGGGAUAACUUCGGGAAACCGGAGCUAAUACCGGAUAAUAUUUUGAACCGCAUGGUUCAAAAGUGAAAGACGGUCUUGCUGUCACUUAUAGAUGGAUCCGCGCUUCAUUAGCUAGUUGGUAAGGUAACGGCUUACCAAGGCAACGAUGCAUAGCCGACCUGAGAGGGGGAUCGGCCACACUGGAACUGAGACACGGACCAGACACCUACGGGAGGAAGCAGUAGGGAAUCUUCCGCAAAGGGCGAAAGACUGACGGAGCAACGGCGCGUGAGUGAUGAAGGUCUUCGGAUCGUAAAACUCUGUUAUUAGGGAAGAACAAAUGUGUAAGUAACUGUGCACAUAUUGACGGUACCUAAUAAGAAAGCAACGGCUAACUACGUG
rnacentral:rRNA from 1 species